CAAACUAACAUGUAAUAUUCUUUUAUGCUAUUUUAACCAGACUGUACCUGGCUGCAAUGCAUUUCAAUGAAAAUGCACGUCUGCAGGCAACUACCUCAUCUGGGGAGCCCAUGUAGAUUAUUCUUUCCCAAGUUCAAGAAAGGAGAAGGCACAGCAAAGCCUAUCAGAACUCCUGAAACCCUAAACUGCGCUGUGGAUUCAUCUCCAGUUGUCCCAGACAAGGCCAGCAUCUCCACACCACCUCCUGAUGCACGCGUCUUCACUACACAUCCUGAUGCAUGCGUCUUCACUACACGUCCUGAUGCCACAUCUUCACACCACCCUCUGCACUACAUCUGAACUCAGUCUACACCCAGUGGGAGUAUCCUUCACAACAGGAUCACACAUACUUCCACACAUCUUGCAGAAAGGACGUGCAGGACAAGAUGACUCAGUGUGAUGAGGUUGCAUAUUU